AGCGGAGGAAAAGAAACCAACUGGGAUUACCUUAGUAACGGCGAGUGAAGCGGUAAAAGCUCAAAUUUGAAAUCUGGUACUUUCAGUGCCCGAGUUGUAAUUUGUAGAAUUUGUCUUUGAUUAGGUCCUGGUCUAUGUUCCUUGGAACAGGACGUCAUAGAGGGUGAGAAUCCCGUUUGGCGAGGAUACCUUUUCUCUGUAAGACUUUUUCGAAGAGUCGAGUUGUUUGGGAAUGCAGCUCAAAGUGGGUGGUAAAUUCCAUCUAAAGCUAAAUAUUGGCGAGAGACCGAUAGCGAACAAGUACAGUGAUGGAAAGAUGAAAAGAACUUUGAAAAGAGAGUGAAAAAGUACGUGAAAUUGUUGAAAGGGAAGGGCAUUUGAUCAGACAUGGUGUUUUUUGCAUGCACUCGCCUCUCGUGGGCUUGGGCCUCUCAAAAAUUUCACUGGGCCAACAUCAAUUCUGGCAGCAGGAUAAAUCAUUAAGAAUGUAGCUACUUCGGUAGUGUUAUAGCUUUUUGGAAUACUGUUAGCCGGGAUUGAGGACUGCGCUUCGGCAAGGGUAGUGUUAUAGCUUUUUGGAAUACUGUUAGCCGGGAUUGAGGACUGCGCUCGGCAAGGAUGUUGGCAUAAUGGUUAAAUGCCGCCCGUCUUGGACAUCG
rnacentral:rRNA from 1 species